rnacentral:rRNA from 1 species
AGGAAAAGAAACCAACCGGGAUUGCCUUAGUACACGGCGAGUGAAGCGGCAAAAGCUCAAAUUUGAAAUCUGGUACCUUCGGUGCCCGAGUUGUAAUUUGGAGAGGGCAACUUUGGGGCCGUUCCUUGUCUAUGUUCCUUGGAACAGGACGUCAUAGAGGGUGAGAAUCCCGUGUGGCGAGGAGUGCGGUUCUUUGUAAAGUGCCUUCGAAGAGUCGAGUUGUUUGGGAAUGCAGCUCUAAGUGGGUGGUAAAUUCCAUCUAAAGCUAAAUAUUGGCGAGAGACCGAUAGCGAACAAGUACAGUGAUGGAAAGAUGAAAAGAACUUUGAAAAGAGAGUGAAAAAGUACGUGAAAUUGUUGAAAGGGAAGGGCAUUUGAUCAGACAUGGUGUUUUGUGCCCUCUGCUCCUUGUGGGUAGGGGAAUCUCGCAUUUCACUGGGCCAGCAUCAGUUUUGGUGGCAGGAUAAAUCCAUAGGAAUGUAGCUUGCCUCGGUAAGUAUUAUAGCCUGUGCGGAAUACUGCCUAGCGUGGGACUGAGGACUGCGACGUAAGUCAAGGAUGCUGGCAUAAUGGUUAUAUGCCGCCCG